rnacentral:rRNA from 1 species
UACGUAGGGUGCAAGCGUUGUCCGGAAUUAUUGGGCGUAAAGAGCUCGUAGGCGGUUUGUCGCGUCGGCUGUGAAAACCUGGGGCUCAACCCCGGGUCUGCAGCCGAUACGGGCAGACUAGAAUUCGGUAGGGGAGUCCGGAAUUCCUGGUGUAGCGGUGAAAUGCGCAGAUAUCAGGAGGAACACCGGUGGCGAAGGCGGGACUCUGGGCCGAUAUUGACGCUGAGGAGCGAAAGCGUGGGGAGCAAACAGG